AGCAGCCGCGGUAAUUCCAGCUUCAAAAGCGUAUUUUAAAGUUGUUGCAGUUAAAAAGCUGGUAGUUGAAUUUCGGGGUUAGUAGGUUGGUCAUGCCUCUGGUAUGUACUGGUCUCACUGAUUCCUCCUUCCUGAUGAACCGUAAUGCCAUUAAUUUGGUGUUGCGGGGAAUUUGGACUGUUACUUUGAAAAAAUUAGAGUGUUUAAAGCAAGCUAACGCUUGAAUACAUUAGCAUGGAAUAAUGAAAUAGGACGUUUGAUCCUAUUUUGUUGGUUUCUAGGAUUGACGUAAUGAUUAAUAGGGAUAGUUGGGGGCAUUAGUAUUCAAUUGUCAGAGGUGAAAUUCUUGGAUUUAUUGAAGACUAACUACUGCGAAAGCAUUUGCCAAGGAUGUUUUCAUUAAUCAAGAACGAAAGUUAGGGGAUCGAAGACGAUCAGAUACCGUCGUAGUCUUAACCAUAAACUAUGCCGACUAGGGAUCGGAUGAUGUUAAUUUUUUAAUGACUCA
rnacentral:rRNA from 1 species